rnacentral:rRNA from 1 species
CCUACGGGAGGCAGCAGUGGGGAAUAUUGGACAAUGGGGGAAACCCUGAUGCAGCGACGCCGCGUGAGUGAAGAAGUAUUUCGGUAUGUAAAGCUCUAUUAGCAGGGAAGAAAAUGACGGUACUUGAUUAAGAAGACACGGCUAACUACGUGCCAGCAGCCGCGGUAAUACGUAGGGGGCAAGCGUUAUCCGGAUUUACUGGGGGUAAAGGGAGCGUAGGCGGCAGCGCAAGUCUGAAGUGAAAUGCCGGGGCUUAACCCCGGAACUGCUUUGGAAACUGGGCAGCUUGAGUGCAGGAGAGGUAAGUGGAAUUCGUAGUGUAGCGGUGAAAUGCGUAGAUAUUAGGAGGAACACCAGUGGCGAAGGCGGCUUACUGGACUGUAACUGACGUUGAGGCGCGAAAGCGUGGGGAGCAAACAGGAUUAGAUACCCUGGUAGUC